rnacentral:lncRNA from 1 species
AUGGAAGCACUCAAGCUCACCAGGCUAUUUCGUCGCUCUGUUAAGCUUGCCGCAAGCAUUCAAGUGGGUCCAGCAGUGUUCAGAGGGCUCACAGUCACUGUUCAUGUAAAGAAUGAGUACGUUCUCACCCUCUUCAUUUCUCACAGAAAACGGAGCACCUGGAAGUCCUGGCGGUCACGCCUGACAGACCACGCCUGGUGCAGCCCGCUCUGCGCGGAGGGGUCCCCCCGCGCCGAGUCAGGUCACAGGAAGUGCUUCACCACCACCUUCUACAAAGCAGAAAUGAACCCACCUGAGACCACCUUACCCACCAAAGGGUGGGCUCCCUUAAGUGAAGGAAGCAGAAAGCAAGGCCCCGACUUGGAGGUGCUGGCCUGCAUGUGGGAUCCCAGAGAAGGGCUCAACAACAACAAGAUGCUGUUGGAAAAGUCUCUUUCCCAUUCCCAAGACCAAGAAGUCAUUAGAACCAGGAUUAUACCAUGACCUUUACUCCGGAUUCCAGAGCACAUGGAAUAAAACCUGUGAAUCCUCUGCA